rnacentral:lncRNA from 10 species
UUUUCUUGUAUUUCAAUUGCAUGUUACACUGUUUGAAAUUAUCCUGUAAGUUUUGAAUGUUCUGCUCUGUUUUUCCUAUGUGUUUGUUUUUUAUUUUGUUUUUGUUUAUAUCUUUACAUUUAAGUUUAGGAAGUUUCUAUUGGUCUAUCUUCCAUUCCAGAGAUUCUUUAUAUAGCCAUGUGAAUGUGUGUUUGUUUUUUAUUUGGUUUUUGUUUUUAUCUUUACAUUUAAGUUUAGGAAGUUUCUAUUUGUCUAUAUUCCAUCCCAAAGAUUCUCUUCCAGGUUUGUAAAUGUCAGCAGUGACUCUGAAGUCACCUGUCUCUCAGGAUUUCAGAAUGACUAUUUACCUGUGUUCUCAGUUUCUAAAGGGUACAGAUAAAUGAGUUUUGUAUUAUUCCAUUCUUGCAUUGCUAUAAAAAGAAAACCUGAGACUGGGUAAUUUAUAAAUAAAAGGUUUAAUUGGUUCACAGUUUGGCAGGCUAUACCAGAAGCAUAGCAGCUUUUGGGGAGGCCUCGGGAAACUUAGAAUCAUGAUGGAAGGCAAAGCAGCUGGUGUCUUCAUGUGGCCAAAGCAGGAAGACGAGAAAGAGGAAGGAGGUGCUACCCACUUUUAAACAACCAGGACUCGUGAGAACUCUGUCGCAAGAACAGCACCAAAUGGGGAAAUCCACCCCCAUCAUCCAAUCACCUCCCACCAGGCCUACCUCCCACACUGGGAUUACAAUUCGACCUGAGAUUUGGGUGGGGACACAAAUCCAAACCAUAUCAUGUUUGUUCAGCUUUUUCUUGUGGUAAUGGUGAGAGUGAUGGUUUCCAAACUCUUUGCAUGUUAUAGUUGAAACUGGCCUCCAUGUAGUCUGAUCUACCAAAUCUCCACACUUCACUGACCCUUCAUUUACAGAACUGUACUUUUUGGAAUUUCAGAGGUAGAAAACAUUCUUUUUUCUAUUGUGGUCUAUCCAAAGUUAAAAGUUUGGGUUUGUUUGUUUUGCACAUAAACCAGUUUUUAUUACUAAGUGAUGUAACAAACAGACAUCCUUAAUGGUGAGAUAUGAAAAUGAGGUGAGGUGUGGGGAAGAAUUCAGUAAUGCAGUGAGGGUCAAUAAAUAGACAGAGUCUCAGGUAGGGAUGAGGGUAUAAUGUUAGGCAAUUCUUCUUAAAUAAUAAUAAGCAUAGUCAUAAAGCUGAAAGUGGAAUUGUAUAGAAAUAUAGUCAGGCUUACUUUUAAAUAUAUAUAUAUUUAAAAGUAUAUAUAUAUACUUUGUCAGCGAUCAAGCUCUAUAUAGACUUUAGAAUCCAUGCCUUUUUUAGUCUUUAUUUCACUUUAAAAAAAAAACAGCUUAGUGAAGUGUAGUUUAUGUACUGUGAAAUCCAUUCACUCACUUUAAUUCUUUUUUGAGGUACUGUAAUUAACAGUUUAACAUUCAGUGGAUUUUUAGGGUAAAGACGCUUAAGCUUACAAGCAUGUUUUCUGCUUUACUGAGGUACAAUAGACAAAUAAAAAUGAUCACUCUGUCUUUUGAUUGGAGAAUUUAUUUCAUUUACAUUUAAAAUAACUAUUGAUAAGUGAGGACUUAUCACUGCCAUUUUAAUUGAUUUCUGUUUGUUUUGUAGUUGGCUUGUUCUUCUCUUGCUUUCUUCCUGUAUUUGAUUUUUUUUUGGUAGCAAUUUGCUUUGAUUAUUUUCUCUUUAUGUUUUGAGACUUUUCUUUGUGGUUAUCUUAAGGCUUUCAUAAAAAUAGCUUGUAUUUAUAACCAUCUAUUUUAAGUUAGUAACAACUUCAACUGCAUACAGAGACUCUAUGAUUGAAAGUAUUAUUAUUUUUUGCUUUUAAAAAUAAAAAAUGUGAAAUAGCUACUUGUUUUGAAUAUUAAGAACAAAGAUUAUAAUACUUUAUUAAUAAAUUAGCUGAAUUAUCUGAUUUUGGGAGAAUCUGUAAUCACUAAUAGAUAAAACCAUUAAAAUGAAUGUUACAGAUACAAUUAAUACACAGCUAUAUAUUUUCCAUUUUGUACCAAAUAUUUAUAC